UUGCGAUGAAGAAAUAGCGCUUCAUGUGAUGUUAGGUCAUCACAGCCGUUCGAUCAUUCGAAUAAUUCAAGCGCAUCUGAGCUU
rfam:Helianthus annuus linkage group 7, whole genome shotgun sequence.